rnacentral:rRNA from 1 species
AGUCUGGUGCCAGCAGCCGCGGUAACUCCAGCUCCAAUAGCGUAUAUUAAAGUUGUUGCGGUUAAAACGUUCGUAGUUGAACUUGUGCUUCAUACGGGUAGUAUAACUAUAAUUGUAGUCUGUACUAUACCUUAUGUAUGUAAGCGUAUUACCGGUGGAGUUCUUAUAUAUAUUAAAUACUUGUAUUUAUAUGUAUUCCUCCUAUUUAAACCUGCUUCAGUGCUCUUCAUUGCGUGCUGUUGUAGGCCGGUACAAUUACUUUGAACAAAUUAGAGUGCUUAAAGCAGGCUCCAAAUGCCUGAAUAUUUUGUGCAUGGAAUAAUGAAAUAAGACCUCUGUUCUACUUUCAUUGGUUUUUAGAUCAAGAGGUAAUGAUUAAUAGAAGCAGUUUGGGGGCAUUAGUAUUACGACGCGAGAGGUGAAAUUCUUGGACCGUCGUAAGACUAACUUAAGCGAAAGCAUUUGCCAAAGAUGUUUUCAUUAAUCAAGAACGAAAGUUAGAGGUUCGAAGGCGAUCAGAUACCGCCCUAGUUCUAACCACAAACGAUGCCAGCUAGCAAUUGGGUGUAGCUACUAUUAUGGCUCUCUCAGUCGCUUCCCGGGAAACCAAAGCUUUUGGGCUCCGGGGGAAGUAUGGUUGCAAAGCUGAAACUUAAAGGAAUUGACGGAAGGGCACCACCAGGAGUGGAGCCUGCGGCUUAAUUUGACCCAACACGGGAAAACUUACCAGGUCCGAACAUAAGCGUGUAAGACAGAUCGAUAGCUCUUUCUCGAAUCUAUGGGUGGUGGUGCAUGGCCGUUCUUAGUUCGUGGAGUGAUUUGUCUGGUUAAUUCCGAUAAUGAACGAGACUCAAAUAUAUUAAAUGGAUGCUUUCAGGAUUAUGGUGUUUGAAGCUUUUAUAGCCUUCAUUCAUGAAUGCAGUAACAUGUGUGAGUGUUUGAAUGUGUUUAUAAAGGUGGAGCCGUACCUGUUGGUUUGUCCCAUAUAAGGACACUAGCUUCUUAAAUGGACAAAUUGCGUCUAGCAAUAAUGAGAUUGAGCAAUAACAGGUCUGUGAUGCCCUUAGAUGUCCUGGGCUGCACGCGCGCUACAAUGAAAGUAUCAACGUGUAUUUCCUAGACCGAGAGGUCCGGGUAAACCGCUGAACCACUUUUAUGCUUGGGAUUGUGAACUGAAACUGUUCACAUGAACUUGGAAUUCCCAGUAAGUGUGAGUCAUUAACUCGCAUUGAUUACGUCCCUGCCCUUUGUACACACCGCCCGUCGCUACUACCGAUUGGAUUACUUAGUGAGGUCUCCGGACGUGAUCACUGUAACGCCUUGCGUGUUACGGAUGUUUCGCAAAAGUUGACCGAACUUGAUUAUUUAGAGGAAGUAAAAGUC